rnacentral:lncRNA from 1 species
AUGAGCUCACAGUGCCUGCACUUUACCCCAGUAGCCCUGAAGUGUGGGCCCCGUACCCUCUGUACCCAGCGGAGUUAGCGCCUGCUCUACCUCCUCCUGCUUUCACCUAUCCCGCUUCACUGCAUGCCCAGAUGCGCUGGCUCCCUCCGUCCGAGGCUACUUCUCAGGGCUGGAAGUCCCGUCAGUUCUGCUGAAUACUGUGUAAGUACUCGGUUUUAAUGAGAACCGUGUCCAGGGCCUGGGUGAGCACAGGACCGAGCAGACGUUUGGUCACUGGGCAGCUCUCAUCCUGCAUUGGCGCCCACACCUUCUGCACUUGCAGGGGUCAUCCCAGGUCAUUACACUUAGCACCCCAAGAGCGCCUUUGGGGCCAUACGUCUCUCCAAGAGAUUUUCACUUGGGACUGAAGGAGAAGUGAGGGAUACGAACUGGAGAACUGGGAUCCUGGCCCCCUCCCCCACACCCCCACAUGAAUCAGGAAGUGACAUGACUGUUACUCACCUGCUGCCAGCGUGAACAAAACCUUCCUCAGGUCACAGACCUAAGUCAUCUACUGACGUAGCGCCUUAGAGUGGGAAUCCUAGAGAUUUACUUCUGUACAUGCCCGCCCGUCUGUCAGAACUUGGGAUAGUUCUUUCUAAAUCACCUAAAUGGUCUUUACAAAACACCCAAUGUCCUUACGAAGGUACUCAGUGUGCUGCUUCCAAUAGGCUUUCCUUAAAGUUUCUUGAGGGAAACUAUCCCAAGUUGGCCUUUGCGCCAUUUCUUCACAGGCCCAGCCUUGCUUCAGGGAACUACCAAAUGAUUUGUUUUCCUGUAAAUGUAGAAUUGCUGUCACAUCCCAAACACCACCUGUAAUUCAGUAUCUUGCCCGAAUUUCUGUGAAGUAUAAAGCAGUGUUGUUCUGAACUCUAAUUUGGUGUGUGAAUUUGGAGAGUCUGCCCCGCAUCUUUGAAAUGUUACUGUCCUACACUCAAAUCUUCUCUUUGUUUAUGUCAUUCCUUCACAAGACAGGAAGAAAAAUGGGAAUAGGGAGAGACCGGACUUCAUCCAGUUAGAAAUGGCACAGAGGCCAUGGAAAGUUGUUAUGUAUCUCUCCCUAACACUCCUCAAGGAAAGCUUCUAAGAUAAAUUCUUUCUUUCUUGUCUUUUUUUUUUUAGGGCAGCAUCUGCAGCACAUGGAAAAGGUCCCAGGCUAGGGAUCGAAUCAGAGCUGUAGCUGCCAGCCACAGCCAUGGCGACUCAGGAUCCAAGCCGCAUCAGCAACCUACACCAUAGCUCACGGCAGCACCAGCUCAUUAACCCACUGAGUGAGGCCAAAGAUUGAACUGAAGUCCUCAUGAAUACUAGUCAGGUUCCUUACCACUGAGCCACAGUGGGAACUCCAAAGGUAAAUACUUUAAAAUGUUCUAUUUCUUCUUCCAUAAUACUGAGUCUCAUGUGCCUUUGUUAGAUCACUUGAGGCCAUUGAGAUUCUUGAGGAGGAGGUAUCAUGAGGGGAGAAGCUGGCCUCUAGUUGACGCUGAUUCAGCUCAAAUGGAGAGCUGUCUCAGACAGCUCACAGGGAAAGCAUGGAGGAACAGUAGAUGCCCAGGCUGGCCUUGUGCAGGUCAGAGCCCUCCUAGAGGAAGAAGGAGAAUGCUGAGUAGUUCCGGGCUUUCUUUUCUUUUUUUUGGUGUUUCUCUCUUUUUUGUAGCCACACCCACAGCAUGUGGAAGUUCCCAGGCCAGAGAUGGCACCUGCAUCACAGCAGUGACCUUAGCUGCUGCCGUGACAUUCCUGGAUACUACUGUGUGCCAUAGAGAACUCCCCAGGGUUUAUUUUCCACAUGCAAGUUGCCCUGUUAAACUGAAGUCUCCGUUGGUGGUUCAUGUCACCUUCAUUUCAAUUUCCAGGGGAACUGCUGAGUGCAGAUUUCAUUUGCUGAAGUUCUCAGUACUGUAAAAGGUCAGUGUUCCCAGAGAGCUCCAGUCCUAGGUCAGAAGGAAGGCUUCUUCAUCUAAAGGAAGGGCUUCACCAAACAGGAGGAUUGGCGAUGGGUAUUAGAGCACCAGAAAUCCCAGAAAGGUAUCAGAGUGGCCAGUUGACCCGCAUCCCAACUGGUCAGGAUUCUUUCUCUGGCCAUGGAAAUAGAUAAGCUGAAGGAUAGCAUUUUUAUUGCUUUAACACUUCAGAGUUCCCUUGUGGCACAGUGGGUUAGGUAUCCGAUGUAGUCACUGUAGUGGCUUGGGUUGCCGCUCUGGCAUGGGUUCAGUCCCUGGUCUGGGGAUUUUCAUAUGCCAUGGGUGCAGGGGGGAGAAAAAAAAGAAAUCAAGGAGUUAGGAUUAUAGCUGUUCAUCCCCUAACUCAUGUUUCUGAGUGUGAUCAGAGAGCACUUGUCCUUAAAUAUAAUUGUGGGCAGAGUCUUAGAUGCUUCCAAGGUUGAAGUUAAACAGAUUUCCUUACCAAACUAUUCUCAUAACAGUAUGAGCAUUGUCGGAGUUCCCUGGUAGCUCAGCGGGUUAAGAAGCUGGCAUCAUCACUGCUGUGGAACUUCCACAUGUUGUGGGUAUAGCCAGAAAAAAACCUCAUGCAUAUAAUCCUUGGACAGUAGUCAUCUGUUAACACUUGUUACUAAUCUGUGAUGACAGGGGAAACAUCAGGAUUCUUUCCUUAAAGCUACUUGGAUUCAUCCCUCAUUCUGAAAUUACAGAAGGCACCGUUUUUCUGUGUGUGUUAAAGUACCCUUUUAAAAUGAAAUGGUAAUGUCAGUGAAUAACGUUGUAUUUCAAAUGUCCUUUUUUAGGAAAACAGUAGUCCAUGGUAGAUACCUAAAAUGUUCUUUAAAAUAUUUUACUAUUUUGUGAAAUUUUGAAAUUGGCUAUUUAAGGCAGACUUUCUGCCCCCUGAAGAUACAAAUUUUAUGCUUUGAGAUACACUCUGGAGUCCUCUUUAGGUCCAGAAUCACCUAAGUCCAUCCUCCAUAUCCAUACACCCAUAACUUUUUCUUUUUUGGCGGCCCCACAACAUAUGGAGUUCCCCAGGCUAGGGAUCCAACCCCAGCCACAGAUGUGGCAAUGCCAAAUCCUUUAACCCACUGUGGUGAGGUGGGGAUUGAACCUGCAUCCUGGUGCUGCAGAGAGGCUGCUGAUCCCAUUGCGCCACAGAGGAAACUCCAGCCCAUAAUUAAUUUUUAAACUUAAGGUAUAUAUCCCAGCCAUUGUUUUUGUUCAGAAAAGCCUUAGUCACUUCCUUGUGUGGGGACCUUCUCCAUUACUGGGUGACACUGGUCUAGCACUGGCAUGUUGCAUGGCUCCAGAAGGCACCGUUCCCAUGCACCUCUCCCUUCUAUGACAGUGCUGAUCUCUUAAUUUUUGGAGGCUGGGAGGUAUUCAUAUAGAGGUGUCAGGGAUAAGGAAUCUAGAAAUUCUGAAGCUCCUGAAAGAGCACUUGGGGUUGGAAUGCAGAUCCGGCAUUUAGCAUGAGCUGCUAGUCGAGGGAAUUCAUGAGAUUGGAAGGGAGGUCAGGCAGCCAGAAGCUGGAGGCUCGCCUUGACAGAAGGAGUCGUCAGCUUGUCCAGAAUGAAGAGUGAAUGGGAGCCCGGGAAGGGCUGUGUGAGGUGUUUGGUCUGCAGUGUCAAAUGCUAUAGGAAAGCUGAGUAAGGUGUUGGCGGUUCCAGUUGGCCAAAGAUGGCAGUGGCAUAAGGCCUAAGGACAGAUCCUGUUUUAAGCCUUGAACAGAGCAAAGAGAAGACAGGAUCAUUAAGCAGUUGAAUAGGUGUAGAUCCAUCCCCGUCCGAGAUCCAGAAGCAGUAUGUCCUCCAGAGAAGGCCUGGCAGUGGCUCCCUGAUCCCUGAAGUACUUAGGACAGUCUGCAGGCUCUGCAUAAAGAUAUGGUGUCUCCUGGGGGGAGGGGGUCUUCAAUUGUCCUGAGGUGAACUUGGGCCUUGGGCCAGGUCCUUCCUUGGGGUCUGAAGGGAGUGGGGGAGAGGGGGUGGUUAGGAAGGAGAAUAGGUCAUUGAACUCAUGACCCUGCAUUUGGGGUUAGAACUCUGGUCUCCCCCCACCCCCCUCCUGAAGUUAGACCAGCCCAGUAUGGAUCCAUGAUUCAGGCUCCUUCCAGUCUCUCAGAUCAAGUCCAGGACAGCUCAUCAUCCAGGCUGUGUAAUCGUAGGGAAACGUAAGUGAGAAUGGAAAACAGUGAUGCUGGUGAAAUAAGAGAAACAUUUUAGAGCAAAAUUGGUUUCUUGCAAAGGGCAAAUGGCACCACUGGUCCAUGUGACUGUCCUGCUUCCAUUGGAAGGGGCUUUCUCCCCAUGGAAAAAUGGCACUAGAAUAAAACGGGAGCAGGAGUGACCUCUGCUCUCAGGCAUAAUGACCUAUAUGCAGACUGGCCAUCAUUGGCAUAAAGAAAGAUAUCAGAAGAGUGGUCGUUUGAAGGGUUACGAGUGUGCAUCACUACACAGGAUUUUGCCCAUGGUCCAGCCUUGUGGUGGAGAAACCCAGAAUAUAUGAUAAUGGUGGUAAUUGAUCAGUUUCCCAGAUGUGUUGAGAACAAGAAAGCAGGUGUGUAGUCAUUCCUUACAAGGAAUGAGGGUUUUAGGGUUUUGCUUGUGGAGUAUCCAAAUGUAGUUAAAUAAAUCAGGGAGGAAAAAA